CCAAAGGUUCUUUUCAGAACCACCUCAGUCUUCUUAAUAAGAACUGU
rfam:Sus scrofa chromosome X.